AAGUCGUAACAAGGUUUCCGUAGGUGAACCUGCGGAAGGAUCAUUAAUGAAUUUAUUGACAGGGUUGUUGCUGGCCUUUACCGGCAUGUGCACGCCUUGCUUCAAUUCAUCCAAUCUAUACCUCUGUGCACUCUUCAUAGGUUGGCUUUUGGGAUUACCCUAGGCCUUUCUAUGCAUUUUAUUACAAACAUGUCCAGUUCAGAAUGUCUUUAUCGCGUGUAACGCAUAUAAAUAUAACUUUCAGCAACGGAUCUCUUGGCUCUC
rnacentral:misc_RNA from 1 species